AGAGUUUGAUCAUGGCUCAGGACGAACGCUGGUGGCGUGCCUAAUACAUGCAAGUCGAGCGGACGGAUGGGAGCUUGCUCCCUGAAGUCAGCGGCGGACGGGUGAGUAACACGUGGGCAACCUGCCUGUAAGACUGGGAUAACUCCGGGAAACCGGGGCUAAUACCGGAUAACUCUUUUCCUCACAUGAGGAAAAGCUGAAAGAUGGUUUCGGCUAUCACUUACAGAUGGGCCCGCGGCGCAUUAGCUAGUUGGUGAGGUAACGGCUCACCAAGGCAACGAUGCGUAGCCGACCUGAGAGGGUGAUCGGCCACACUGGGACUGAGACACGGCCCAGACUCCUACGGGAGGCAGCAGUAGGGAAUCUUCCGCAAUGGACGAAAGUCUGACGGAGCAACGCCGCGUGAGUGAUGAAGGUUUUCGGAUCGUAAAACUCUGUUGUCAGGGAAGAACAAGUACCGGAGUAACUGCCGGUACCUUGACGGUACCUGACCAGAAAGCCACGGCUAACUACGUGCCAGCAGCCGCGGUAAUACGUAGGUGGCAGGCGUUGUCCGGAAUUAUUGGGCGUAAAGCGCGCGCAGGCGGUUCCUUAAGUCUGAUGUGAAAGCCCCCGGCUCAACCGGGGAGGGUCAUU
rnacentral:rRNA from 1 species